rnacentral:rRNA from 1 species
GAUUAACGCUGGCGGCGUGCAUAACACAUGCAAGUCGAACGAUGAAACUUAGUAUACUUCUUCGGAAAGACACUAAGCGGAUUAGUGGCGAACGGGUGAGUAACGCGUGAGUAACCUGCCUUACACAAGGGGAUAGCCUUUGGAAACGAAGAAUAAUACCCUAUAAAACCAUAAAAGCACAUGCUAGCAUGGUCAAGGUGAUAGCGGUGUAAGAUGGACUUGCGUCUGAAUAGCUUGUUGGUGAGAUAAAAGCUCACCAAGGCAACGAUCAGUAGCCGGCAUGAGAGAGUGUACGGCCACAUUGGGACUGAGACACGGCCCAGACUCCGACGGGAGGCAGCAGGGGGGAAUUUUGCACAAUGGGGGAAAGCAGGAGGCAGCGACGCCGCGUGAUUGAGAAGGUCUGCGGGUUGUAAAAAUCUUUUGUAUAGGAAGAAAAUGACAGUACUAUACGAAUAAGAUCCGGCUAACUACGUG